AACCUAGCACACCUGCGGUGUGUACCUGCGGAAGGAUCAUUACAGAGUUGCAAGACUCCCUAAACCAUUGUGAACCUACCUUCUACCGUUGCUUCGGCGGGCGGGCCCAGCGCCCCCCCCGGCCCCCCGCGGGCGCCCGCCGGAGGAUACCCAAACUCUUGACAUUAGUGGCCUCUCUGAGUAUUCUUUACUGAAUAAGUCAAAACUUUCAACAAUGGAUCUCAGAUCGGAAGAGCACAC
rnacentral:misc_RNA from 1 species